CAUGGGGAGAUGCCUAUACGUGCAGUCGAGCGAAUGACGAGGAGCUUGCUCCUCUGAUUUAGCGGCGGACGGGUGAGUAACACGUGGGUAACCUGCCUGUAAGACGGGGAUAACUUCGGGAAACCGAAGCUAAUACCGGAUAAUAAAGAGAGACUCCUGUUUCUUUUUUGAAAGUCGGUUUCGGCUGACGCUUACAGAUGGGCCCGCGGCGCAUUAGCUAGUUGGUGAGGUAACGGCUCACCAAGGCCACGAUGCGUAGCCGACCUGAGAGGGUGAUCGGCCACACUGGGACUGAGACACGGCCCAGACUCCUACGGGAGGCAGCAGUAGGGAAUCUUCGGCAAUGGACGAAAGUCUGACCGAGCAACGCCGCGUGAGCGAUGAAGGCCUUCGGGUCGUAAAGCUCUGUUGUCAGAGAAGAACAAGUACCGGAGUAACUGCCGGUACCUUGACGGUACCUGACCAGAAAGCCACGGCUAACUACGUGCCAGCAGCCGCGGUAAUACGUAGGUGGCAAGCGUUAUCCGGAAUUAUUGGGCGUAAAGCGCGCGCAGGCGGUUCCUUAAGUCUGAUGUGAAAGCCCACGGCUCAACCGUGGAGGGUCAUUGGAAACUGGGGAACUUGAGUGCAGGAGAGAAAAGUGGAAUUCCACGUGUAGCGGUGAAAUGCGUAGAGAUGUGGAGGAACACCAGUGGCGAAGGCGGCUUUUUGGCCUGUAACUGACGCUGAGGCGCGAAAGCGUGGGGAGCAUACAGGAUUAGAUACCCUGGUAGUCCACGCCGUCACGAUGAGUGCUACGUGUUGGGGGGUUCCACCCUCAGUGCUGACGUGACACAUAGCACUCGCUGGGGAGUACGACGCAAGGCUGAAACUCAAAGGAAUUGACG
rnacentral:rRNA from 1 species